ensembl:lncRNA
ACACACACACACACAAAGACACACCCAAUCUCCACCUAAGGCACAUUUAGAUUAUUAUGCAGGAGAAGAAAAGUCUUAAAGGAAAUAUGGAUCUUGCCCAUUUGUGUCUGGCAGAGUCAGGAAAAUAUAACAAUUGGACUGUUUUCACAAAGCCCAAGUGUUCUAUGAGCUGAGUUACAUAUUUCACAAGUCAUCCCCAGAUGUUCCCUGAAUUAUCCAAAUGUUUCUUUCAAGUUUAUGUGUAAUAAUUGAAUGAUUCAAAGUGACUUGUACUGUUGUCUUAAUGUACCCCAGAACUGGACUGAGGAACAUAUUAAAUAGAACCCAUCUACCCCGCCUUAAUAAGGAAAGAAAUAUAUUUAUACAUUGUCAUCAAUUCUUGCAAUAUGCUUACAUAGUCUGAUAAAUUGAAUUCAGUGAAAUAUGUUAAAGAUUGAGUGCAAAAGAUAAUUUAAGAAGAAAAAUGGAGUUCUAGGUCAAAAACAACUGAUGUAUGAAACUUCCAUGGGAGGAAGAGCUUUGUUGAGAAAUUGAAACAAGUUUAAUGGGGCUUAAGUCAGAAUAGGGGCAUUAUCGGAAGGGAGGCCAGGAAGUGGAAGAGAAGAGGCAACAUGACUCAGGUUUAAUCUUGAAAUGAACACCAUACAGACUUUACUCUACCUUCCCCAUCAAGUUCUCAUAGAAGUUGGAGAGGGCUUCCAAACCAGCACCAGAAUUAUUAGAUGGUAGUAUUAUAAGUAAUAGGAUUCCAAUAGAUAAUAAAUGCAGAAUGUGUAUGAGGAAACUUCCUUGUAGGAUCCUACUGUGACUUCAUGCUUUCAGAAGUAGACAGCAGUACAACCAAUAAGCUGGUGAACUGGGCCACCACAAAGGGAUCGUGCAGAGCAAAUACUAAAGGCCUUACAGAACACAGCAUGCAAGUUCCUAGUGAUGGUGAGAAGACAGACAUACCUCUCUCAGAGGCCAACCAAGAAACCACCAACUACUAGGGAGGAGCACGAAAGAGCUGUGUAAUGCACUUGACCUCUACCAAGAAUUCUGUACCAUACACACACAGCUACAUACCAAUUUCAAGGAGAAAAGUAACAGUCAUAAAAUUUUACCAUGCACUAGAACACAGAAAAAAAAAUGUCAGCAAAUUCCAAAAGGUUGAAGUAUACAGGCUACAUUUACUUAUUCAUCAACAAUUACAAGAAAUUCUAACAGCAAACUAUCUCACUUACAAGAAAAUUAACCAUACAUGUACACAUACUGCAAAUGAUUGCUAAAUUAAAGCAAGUAUCAGUAGAGCCCAUAAACUGGAGCUGAAUACCAAAUGAAAAGGGUAUAGGGCAAAACUUGUGGAUUGAGAAGAAAAUGUAUGGUUUACAGGUAUCUAUCUGAAGACAAACAAUCUAUGCUUUUAGUAUAUGGACUCACCAAAAACAUAAAAUACAAUGGGCAUAAAAUGGGAGAAAGGGCUAAUGUAAAUAACAGCAUAAAGCAACCAACUAGAAAACAAUUAAAAAAAAAAACCCUCAGGAAUAAAACAAACAGAAAAAAGUCCACAGUACUUUGAAUGGUGUGUACACUUAAAGUGUGAUCAAUAUCACACUUAUAAGAAUACAAAUAAUCGUUAGGCAUGAACUAUUAAACACCAGCAGUAUAGAGGAGACUGAAUGGUUGUAGGAAAAUCAAACUUCAAGGUAAAUUGAGAUUAUAUUGCUAAUUUCAAAAGCUAAAUUUUAAGUGGUGUACUUUCGAAGUCUAUAGUAGCUCACGAAGAGGUUUUAAACUGUUGAUAUUUUGUUUUUGUUUUUAAGCAGAAAGAAGAAAUCCUCCUUUAUCCCCAGGUGAAUGCUAAUGGCUUGAAUGAUGGUUUCUUGUCAGGACCUGUUAAUAAAGCAGUGCCCUAUGCUAUGCAAGGUGGUGGGUGAGUAGCUGGGCUCGAAGUCCGGACGAAGGCAAGCAGAAAAAGCAGAAAUUGAUCAUUCAGAGAAGAGUCACAUUUUGAAAUAAUUCAAAGGUAGACUUUGUAGGAGAAUUACAUGUUUAAAAUGAAAACCUGGAUGCCAUCUAAAAUGUUCUGCUCAGCUCUGCAUUAGCAAUAAGACAGUAGCAGGUUAUUGUCAUCCGUUGCUAGCAUUUGGAUUCUCAAGACGAGUAUGUCAUGAGAAAUCACCAUGUGAAGACAACCAGUUUUCUCACCUUACUCAUUUCCUCUCAUCACUUCUUGCCUGCUGAUGGUGAGUGAUGUCAGAAAACAUGCAGGGCAAAGGAAUAUGAAGAAAGAGGUCAACAAGAUGACUACUGAGCAGAUAAAAGUCCUGGCUGAUAAGUUGAGGAUGAUCCCUGGCUUCACAAGGAAUAACUUCAGGAGUUGCAGAGUAAAGCUGAUGGAAAAGGGCCUCUUCAUGGACUAUUCUAGAACAAACCAGGAAAAGGGAACACAGGAAAGAAUGAACGGUAUGGAUCAUACCUGAUCCAGGUGAUUUGGAUGUACAGUUACAUGGACUCCAGGAGUCUUUUCUCAAGAGAAAAAUGAUCACUCUUGGGGUAGAAUUGCCUCACCUGAAGUGGGGGAGGGGAGGUUGAAGGUAUUUCUUCUCUUCUCCGAGUCAAGAACUGAUGACCUAGACAAACACCUUGACCAAAACAGGUCACUUGGUACUUUAAAUUAUAUGAUUUAUACAAACUCUUACAAGACUUGCAGCUGUUCUUUUGGGUGCUUUUGGAAGAGGUUUCUUCACCCACUCACCUCCAAAAGGGGGUCCUUAAAAUGUAGCAAAAUGAGGUAUAGGGAUUGAGACAAAGACCAAAGAGCCAUUUUAGAGAGGAUAACCUCAGGAUGAUUGAGGAAAACAAAUGGAGUUAAUGUCAAAAUUCUGUAAACUCAGAUGUUUACAAAGAGAGCUAAAUGAAUAGAAUAAUAGAGACAAAAAAGAACUCUGCAUUACCACAAUGCUUCCAAAUUAUUUCUUUUUACCUUGAGGCUAUCCAAUUUUUUUUUUCUACUCCCUUGCUUCUGAGUUUACUGGUAGAUGUGAGCCAAUUCUCACACGAUUGUCUUAUUAAAACGAUUCCUCUCACAGCACAAUUGGGGGGAAAUUAAUCAAAGAACCCAGUUCUUCAAUCCAAGCUGUCACAUAACCCACAAAGCCUACAAAUGGGAAUUUCCAUUCAAGUAGUUGCAAAACAGUCUUUAAUACUUCAUAUUGUCUAUUGAUGGUCAGCUUCUUUCUUCAGUCAAACAGAACAAUCUUGUUUUCUCUAAUGAGAAGAAAAUUAAGUUAUAUCUUAAAAGAAGGGGUUUAUUGUUUGUCUUUAGACAAUAGACACUAGAUACCACAGUGUAAUGAAAUAAAUGCAAGGAGGAAGGCGAAUUUCUCAAGCUUUUCUCACACAGCUCUACUUUAGCUGGAUAUUCCCCCCGAAAGCCUGUCCCUUUGCAGAAGAGAGUUCUUUAGCCCUACAUAUGCUACUCUGUCUAAGAGAUGUACAGUGCCCAUAAAAUAGCCAAGCUCUCAGAAUCCUGAAGUAAAGAAAGCCAUUUAAUCUCCGUUAACCCAAUAUUUCCAAAAUUUAUGAGUCUACAAAGCUUUUCAAAUGCAGUUUCUACCAUAACUCUGUGGAGUUAGUGAUAUGGAAUAUGCCUGGGGCGUACUCCUAUACAGACACUGCAAGCAUGUCCUCAUGCACUCAAAGUCAAGCCCCUGAGAAAUGGAAUCACUUAGAGGUAAUCAAAGCUUUUGGUAGAAAAACAUAACUUUGAUGCUAAGAGCAUGGAAGAAAGAAAUUAUAUAGGCUGGGAACCAUGUACCACAGCUCUUAGAGAGAGUGGAGAUUAUAAAGAAUUGAAAAGAAAUCAAGAAACAGGAAACAAAAGUCUAAUAACUAAAUCUACUAGGCCAUAGAUUAACUUAAUGUUUCGAUGGUACUAGACAAAAUUUUCUAGGCUAUAGAGUAUUAAGACAAUAAUAAUUUUUACUAAACCUAUGGUACCUGGUACUUUGUAUCACUGCUGCCCAUGUGUUUUUUAGAAAUCUCCACUUCUCUGGGAUUCUAGUGGAGAGAGUAGACAGGCUCACAAAGCUUCCUGAACAUCGAAUUUCUCUUACAAAACAAUAGUUUGUCGAAUUACAUGCCAACUAAACAGAUGGAUUACAUUUCCCUCUCAAUGUGCACAAAUUAAAAAAUUAAAGAGAAAAAGUACUUGGUAAAGCCAGCUUUGUAUUUUGCUGCAUCAGAAACAUUUAGGGAAAUGGUUUGAAAUGUUUGGCUAAAGCCCAGUGCCACCAAGCCCUCCUGGCUCCAGACACCAGUCCCAUUGACCGAAAAUUUCUAUUAAGCAAACAAAUGGGUGAGUGGUUUGUUGCUGAUUUCCCCACAAGUGUGGAGCAUGAAAUGUAAUAUUCCUGGAAGGAUAAACACUGUGUGCUUCAUAUUUUUACAAAGAUGGGUAGAGACAGUUACCAGGACAGUUUAGAAGUAAUAUUAACUGAGAAAUUUUCUAAAGAGGUCACCUUUAUCUGUUAAUAGAGAAAUUGAAAAUGAAGCUCAUAGCAACAACAAAAAACACUAUAGAAAUUGGUAUAGUAAGGUCUUAAUUGCCUAAAGUUCAACAACUAUGAAUAAAAUUAUUG